rnacentral:rRNA from 1 species
GCUGGCGAGAUGCUUUACACAUGCAAGUCGUACGAGAGUUUCAAACUCAAGUGGCGGACGGGUGAGUAACACGUAAGAAUUUGCCUUUAGGAGGGGGACAACAACUGGAAACGGUUGCUAAUACCCCAUAUGCUUUCGAGUGAAACGGAUUUUUCCGCCUAAAGAGAAGCUUGCGGCUGAUUAGCUUGUUGGUGAGGUAAUGGCUCACCAAGGCGACGAUCAGUAUCUGGUUUGAGAGGACGAUCAGACACACUGGAACUGAGACACGGUCCAGACUCCUACGGGAGGCAGCAGUGGGGAAUUUUCCGCAAUGGGCGAAAGCCUGACGGAGCAAUCUCGCGUGAGGGAUGACUGCCUAUGGGUUGUAAACCUCUUUUUUCAGGGAGGAAUCAAUGACGUGUACCUGAAGAAUAAGCAUCGGCUAACUCCGUGCCAGCAGCCGCGGUAAGACGGAGGAUGCAAGUGUUAUCCGGAAUCACUGGGCGUAAAGCGUCUGUAGGUGGUUUGAUAAGUCAACUGUUAAAUCUUGAAGCUCAACUUCAAAAUCGCAGUCGAAACUAUCAGACUAGAGUAUAGUAGGGGUAAAGGGAAUUUCCAGUGGAGCGGUGAAAUGCGUAGAGAUUGGAAAGAACACCGAUGGCGAAGGCACUUUACUGGGCUAUUACUGACACUCAGAGACGAAAGCUAGGGUAGCAAAUGGGAUUAGAUACCCCCGUAUCCUAGCUGUAAACAAUGGAAACUAGAUGUUGAACAGAUCGAC